UGAAAUAAAUCUGAUGAGUUGCUGCUGGCUUGCUUUAGAGCAUGUGCACACUUGUCAUCUUUAUAUCUCCACCUUUGUGCACAUUUUGUAGGCCUGAAUAUCUUUCUGAGUUGUUAGCGACUCAGGUUUGAGGAUUGAUUUUAAAUAAUCUUUCUUUACAUUUGCAGGCCUAUGUUUCUUUAUAUAUACCCCAUUGUAUGUUCUAGAAUGUAAUAAAAUGGGCCUUUGUGCCUAUAAACAUUAAUACAACUUUCAGCAACGGAUCUCUUGGCUCUCGCAUCGAUGAAGAACGCAGCGAAAUGCGAUAAGUAAUGUGAAUUGCAGAAUUCAGUGAAUCAUCGAAUCUUUGAACGCACCUUGCGCUCCUUGGUAUUCCUUGGAGCAUGCCUGUUUGAGUGUCAUUAAUAUAUCAACCUCUUCAAUCUUUGGCUUGUUGAGUGUUGGAUGUGGGUUUGCUGGUUUCUCUCUUGAGGUCAGCUCCCCUGAAAUGCAUUAGCUGAACAAUUUGUGGACCUUGUUCAUUGGUGUGAUAAUUAUCUACGCUACUGACAACAAAGCAAGCUCAGCUUCUAACAGUCCAUUGACUUGGACAAUAUUUAUAUCAAAUGUGACCUCAAAUCAGGUAGGACUACCCGCUGAACUUAAGCAUAUCAAUAAG
rnacentral:rRNA from 1 species